rnacentral:rRNA from 1 species
UACAGGGGGUGCAAACGUUGCUCGGAAUCAUUGGGCGUAAAGCGCACGUAGGCGGUCUGUUAUGUCGGAUGUGAAAGCCCUCGGCUCAACUGGGGAAGUGCAUCCGAAACUGGCAGGCUAGAGUACUAAAGAGGGUCGCGGAAUUCCCGGUGUAGAGGUGAAAUUCGUAGAUAUCGGGAGGAACACCGGUGGCGAAGGCGGCGACCUGGGUAGAUACCGACGCUGAGGUGCGAAAGCGUGGGGAGCAAACAGG